GCGGUCAUCGUCUAGUUUGGUCAGGACACUGGCCUUCCAAGCCCGUAACCCGGGUUCAAAUCCCGGUGACCGCA
rnacentral:tRNA from 1 species